rnacentral:rRNA from 1 species
GAUGAACGCUGGCGGCGUGCCUAAUACAUGCAAGUCGAGCGAACGGACGAGAAGCUUGCUUCUCUGAUGUUAGCGGCGGACGGGUGAGUAACACGUGGAUAACCUACCUAUAAGACUGGGAUAACUUCGGGAAACCGUAGCUAAUACCGGAUAAUAUUUUGAACCGCAUGGUUCAAAGGUGAAAGACGGUCUUGCUGUCACUUAUCGAUGGAUCCGCGCUGCAUUAGCUAGUUGGUAAGGUAACGGCUUACCAAGGCAACGAUGCAUAGCCGACCUGAGAGAGUGAUAGGCCACACUGGAACUGAGACACGGUCCAGACUCCUACGGGAGGCAGCAGUAGGGAAUCUGCCGCAAUGGGCGAAAGCCUGACGGAGCAACGCCGCGUGAGUGAUGAAGGUCUUCGGAUCGUAAAACUCUGUUAUUAGGGAAGAACAUAUGUGUAAGUAACUGUGCACAGCUUGACGGUACCUAAUCAGAAAGCCACGGCUAACUACGUG